rnacentral:rRNA from 1 species
AGAUUGAACGCUGGCGGCAGGCCUAACACAUGCAAGUCGAGCGGCAGCACGGGUACUUGUACCUGGUGGCGAGCGGCGGACGGGUGAGUAAUGCCUAGGAAUCUGCCUGGUAGUGGGGGAUAACGCUCGGAAACGGACGCUAAUACCGCAUACGUCCUACGGGAGAAAGCAGGGGACCUUCGGGCCUCGCGCUAUCAGAUGAGCCUAGGUCGGAUUAGCUAGUUGGUGAGGUAAUGGCUCACCAAGGCGACGACUCCGUAACUGGUCUGAGAGGAUGAUCAGUCACACUGGAACUGAGACACGGUCCAGACU